AGCACAGGCAGAGGAAGAGCUGGCAGCACUUCGGGCAGAACUGCGGGGGCUGCGGGGGGCCCUGGCUACGGCUGAGGCCAAGCGUCAGGAGCUGGAGGAGACUCAAGUCAGUGUCACUCAGGAGAAGAAUGACCUGGCCCUGCAGCUGCAGGCAGUGAGUGUGACAGGGACAAGGACAUCCGGGUGGCCCGAAACCUUGGAAAGCAGACUGUGGCCAGGGCAGCCCUGGAGUGAUCUGGGCACUUCAACCUUCUGUGCUAUCUCCCUACUCUUGAAAUAAAUACCUGGAGAGGAGGCCCAAUGUCUGCCCAGCCUUCCCUGCAAGUUCAGGGACACACGGAUCUAUGAGGCAGAUAAUAGGGUCAUAUCCAGAGGGCAGGGGUCAAAGUCUGGAACUCCCCAACACAGUUCUUUUUAAUUU
rnacentral:lncRNA from 1 species